UAAAAGUCCAAGAGAAUUCUGGGUUUCUAUUGACAUUCUUAUCUAUUGGAUUGCUACCCAUUUGGUCAGAUCUUUUCAACUCUAAACUUUAAUUUUGUACAUAGGAUAGUCUCUUCAUCUUCUCCCCACUUUCUUUAAUUUCAAAAUCUCUCCCUCCCUUUUCAAAAACCUUCUUUGAUUGAACUUAUUUUGUUCUAAAUUUUGACCACUUUGCAGAAAGAUAGAAACUUU
rnacentral:lncRNA from 1 species